AUGGAGUCUUGCUCUGUCGCCCAGGCUGGAAUACAGUGGCGUGAUCUCGGCUCACUGCAACUUCCGCCUCCUGGGUUCAAGCGAUUCUCCUGCCUCAGCCUCCCAAACAGCUGGAACCACAGGUGCGCGCCACCACACCCAGGUAAUUUUUUUGUAUUUUUAGUAGAAACGGGGUUUCACCAUGUUAGCCAGGAUAGUCUCGAUUGUUCUGGAGUUUUUUCUAAUACAUUACACACAAUCUAUAGGCAAAUUCUGUUGGUGUCAUCUUCAGAAUCUACCCCAAAUCUUACUAUUUUUACAGCACUUCAACCACUAGUACCUUAUCAAAAACCACUUCCAUAUUUCUUGUAAAUUAUUGGAACAGCCCUUUACCUGGUCUUCCUGUUUCUGCCUUUUGCAUCCCUUCUUCCUUCCUCUCCUUCACACAUACCACUAAAUCGCAACACUGCAACUACAGUAAUAAAUACAUCACUUCUCUGUACAAAAGCUUCUGGUGGUUCUCCCCUCACUCAGGAAGUCUUUACAAUACUCCACAAGAUCACUUUCUGACCUUUCCUGUUGGACUCGUUUUGAAUUUCUACCUUGCCCACUCUGUUGCAGCCACAGUCUCCUCCCUGCUGAUUCAUAAACACACUGACCAUGCUCUUGCUUCAAGAACAUUUCUAUUGCUGUUCUCUCUGCCGGGAGGACAGUUCCUCUAGUAUCCACUCACCUCAUUCAGUUUCUGCACAAAUGUCACUUUUACAAUAAAGUCAUUCCUAAAGAACUAACUUAAAAUUGUACCCUGCUAAAUAGCAAUGCCCUUACCUCACUUAGAACACUCUAAAAGUGCUCUAAAGGACUAAAUUAGCAAUUUAGCCCUUUAGUACCCCACUGAUUAGCAAUCCCCUUACCCCACUUAGAGAGUGCUCUACUAGUACUUUAGACAGCAGCAUCUAAACAGUGAUGCUACUAUCAGACUAAAAAUCACCAUCAUAAGUAGAUACAUAAAUUUAAAUCAAAUAAACUUAAUUAUCUAAUUUGAACAUUAUAUUUCAUCUACAAUAUCCAUUUAUUCAACAAGUAUUUAUUGACCAUGUUGUACAAUUUUCUAGGUGCAGAAGAUACAUCACUUAACAAAGCAGAUCACUAUACUUGGUUACUUGGAGUUUAUAUUUGAAUUGGCAAAAUAUAUGGCAGAAACUGGAAGUGUUGUAAAGGACUAAAUUAGUAAUGAGUAAUUUAGCCCUUUAGUACCCUACUGAUUAGCAAUCCUCUUACCCCACUUAUAGAGUGCUCUACUUGUACUUUAGAUAGUAGCAUUUCAACAGUAGCAUUUAAACCCCUUGGGAUUGCUAAUUACCUUACUUUAGGAGGUAAUUACAUGAGGAGGGUGAAGCCCUUAUGGAAGGAAUUAGGGUCCUUAUAAAAGCCCUUGGGGCAGUGGGUCCACUCUCUUUUGCUCUUCCACCAUGUGAGGACACAGCAUUCAAAGCACCACCUUGGAAGCAGAGACAAGACUCUCACCAGACACCAAACUUGCCUGCACCUUGAUCUUGGACAUCCAGCCUUCAGAACUGUGAGAAGUAACAUUUCUAUUAUUUAUGAAUUACCCAGUCUGGUAUUUUAUUAUAGCAACAUAAAGAGACUGUGAUAGAAGGUAUGAAUUUUUGUCCUAAAUGAGGACUGGGAGUGGUAGGAAUUUGAAAACAAUGCCAAUAUAACAAAUAAAUUAGAUUGUUUCUAGCUAUUUUAUUUUUCUUUCAUUAGUUAGUAAUUCCAAUCCAGUUCUGGGUUUGAAGUUUUGCAUGUAAAACGUGUUCCUUUUAGAUAUUUUCCUCUGAAAGAAAUUGGGGAAAUAUUGCAAAGAAAAAGGAAAAGGAAAAGGAGCGAUUCUGACAUUUAUGAAUUUGUGAUAUUAUGUACUGAAAUUAUAACCUGAUUGUAUGUUUCUGCCUAAUCUGCAUAAAGGGAGGUUAUUCAGCCCUUCCACACUUUGCCAUGGGAUGGCACAGCAAGAAGGCCCUCAUCAGAUACAGGACCCUCAGCCUUGGUUUUCCAGUCAUUCGAACUCAUUUCCAUCUAUAUUUUCACUCCUGAGAAGUUUGAAAAUUAAAAAAAAAAAAAAAAUCAUGAAGAAUAAGAGAUGAACCACAAAAAAAAAAAAGAAAGGCUGGAAGAGGAUUUUACAGAUUUUUAAGAAAUACAACUCAUCUGCCUGAGCAUUCUUUCGGCACUCUCAUUUUAAGGUUACUUCUAGAAAGAAGAAAUGAUUUUUAAUAUUUCCUUCAUCUGGAGAAAUAACUGUCACUGUUCGGUAUUCACGGACUUCCUGCUGAGGACUGCUACCGCAGUAGGCUCUGGUCUCACGAUAGGCAGCCGUGAUAAGCAAGGGCCCCCGCACAGAGAUGGUUUGAAUGAUGUGGCUCCCUCCUGCUCCAUAUAACCAUAGCAAGAAGAAUGUAACAGUGGCCCUCCAUUAGCGAACUUAUUACGGUGAUUCCCGAGUCAUGAUCGCGACCCACCUUAAAAUCUACUGCUGGCAUUUUCUUGUCAUUGGAUUGCCACAUGAAUUAGCAGUUUAAGACUCUGCCUCCUUACUAACACCAACAUCUUAUCUGUAUGGCUUUGGCGCUAGUUCCUGCCUCCUUGUGCUCUACCUCUAUCCCAGUUAUCAUCUUGAAUUCAGUAUGCUUUUGGGUCUCUGGUUAAAUCUUAGAACUUUCCAUUCAAAAUAACGUACUUUAUAUUUCAGAACCACCCCUUAGGUUUGGUACCUGUACUAUGUCCUUGAAUUGAAUAUUUGCAUCUGUUUCUUGAUAUAUGUAUUUUUCAUUUAAAAUAUUUGCUCUUAAGUUAUAUAAUUUACCUGGUGAAAGACCAUACAACACUACUUGCAUGUAGUCUCCCUAUCAUUGAUGAACUUGCAUGUUUCUUUUCUCCAAUAAAUUUUAUGUCAAUUUUACUACAUUAUUGAAAUUCCCCCAGAGUAAUGAGAUCAUAUUUAUCAACU